GACGAACGCUGGCGGCGUGCUUAACACAUGCAAGUCGAACGGAAAGGCCCUGCUUUUGUGGGGUGCUCGAGUGGCGAACGGGUGAGUAACACGUGAGUAACCUGCCCUUGACUUUGGGAUAACUUCAGGAAACUGGGGCUAAUACCGGAUAGGAGCUCCUGCUGCAUGGUGGGGGUUGGAAAGUUUCGGCGGUUGGGGAUGGACUCGCGGCUUAUCAGCUUGUUGGUGGGGUAGUGGCUUACCACGGCUUUGACGGGUAGCCGGCAUGAGAGGGUGACCGGCCACAUUGGGACUGAGAUACGGCCCAGACUCCUACGGGAGGCAGCAGUGGGGAAUAUUGCACAAUGGGCGGAAGCCUGAUGCAGCAACGCCGCGUGCGGGAUGACGGCCUUCGGGUUGUAAACCGCUUUCGCCGGUGACGAAGCGUGAGUGACGGUAAUGGGUAAAGAAGCACCGGCUAACUACGUG
rnacentral:rRNA from 1 species